GAGCGCCGUAUACGAGAACCGUACGUACGGUGCGACGGGAGGGGCGGAAAUUUAUUUCCCCUCUACCCUAU
rfam:Tetragenococcus halophilus NBRC 12172 DNA, complete genome.